GCCCUGGCCGGGUAGCUCAGUUGGUUAGAGCUUUGGCCCAAUACGCCAGGGUUUUGGGUUCGAUCCCCAGUCGGGGCA